GACGAACGCUGGCGGCGUGCUUAACACAUGCAAGUCGAACGGAAAGGCCCUGCUUUUGUGGGGUGCUCGAGUGGCGAACGGGUGAGUAACACUUUAGUAACCUGCCCUUGACUUUGGGAUAACUUCAGGAAACUGGGGCUAAUACCGGAUAGGAGCUCCUGCUGCAUGGUGGGCGUUGGAAAGUUUCGGCGGUUGGGGAUGGACUCGCGGCUUAUCAGCUUGUUGGUGGGGUAGUGGCUUACCAAGGCUUUGACGGGUAGCCGGCCUGCGAGGGUUACCGGCCACAUUGGGACUGAGAUACGGCCCAGACUCCUACGGGAGGCAGCAGUGGGGAAUAUUGCACAAUGGGCGGAAGCCUGAUGCAGCAACGCCGCGUGCGGGAUGACGGCCUUCGGGUUGUAAACCGCUUUCGCCUGUGACGAAGCGUGAGUGACGGUAAUGGGUAAAGAAGCACCGGCUAACUACGUG
rnacentral:rRNA from 1 species